UCCAUGUGGAGAAGAGAACGACGAGUGGAGCAGUGCACAACAUAAAAUCCAUAGAGUUUACAACGCACAUGUGAGUAAACAACAUUUAAAUAAUCAGUCCAGUUUAUUACUUUAUCUGGAGGUAAGGCUCCAAAUACAAUAAAAUAAGCCCGUAAUUAUAUCCUGAUGGUUUUAGCUUUCAGUAUGUUUGCUUGUGCUUCACAGUGUUAAACUUUCCUUCUCUGUGUUAAUUUAUAUAUCUACGUUCAAGAUGUAUAUGAUCUUAAACUUCUGUGAGGAAAUUCAUGUCUGCGUUGAUGUUCAGUUCAGACUUGCAAAUUAAAGAUCAUUUUCUUCACUUUGGUUUGGGUGUCUAAUAUGCUACAUUAUGGUCUUGUAAUAAUAAUUAAGUAAAAGCCUAUUUUCAUUUUUAAACAAUGCUUAUAUUAUAUGCAAAAAAAGCUUUUAUAUCAAUGACUAUGCAAAUGAGAGUAACUUCAUGGUCAUCUUAAAUGUGUAUUAUGGUAAUUAAAAACAUUUACACCAUUAAAUUAAACAUGGUAAUGUUAUCAAUAGUUGUCAGAUAAUAGCUAUUGAAAGAGUGGAUAUUUUUCUCCUUCAAUCCAAGUGUUUGCCACGGAUUGAAGAUUGUAAACAGUUAAUUUAAUUUUAAUUAACAGUUGAGUAACUUUUGGCCCUGGGUUAGAUGUUGAUUAACACUAAACCAGUCUAAAAAUCAGUCCAGUUUCCCCAGCUGUAAACCCAUUGGCUGUUAAAGUCUUUUUUUUUCUUAUAAUAAACUGACAUGUUGAUAACACAUUCAGUUUAUGUGUUUAUGAGUACACUUUCAGAAUGCUCUUAGUUACAUGAAUAUCUAUACUGUAUGCAUCUGUGAGAGUGGUGGUGCUUAUGGGCUAGGACGAGUGAGCAUAAGGGUGAGAGGGAAAAAUCACAGUAUACUCACUACAAAAAUCUAGACUACACCACUGAACGGAGGUAUGGCAAGAAUCAGCAGUGAAGCAACCUACCCAUUACACAAAAAAUGCACACGGCCGCGCCGGUCUCAGUGUGUCUGCAUCUAUGAAAAAAAUGUGCACCACCUGCAUGCAGAGAGCACGCGCGCUGCCUGCACGACAUCCAAUCACUGCAGUCCCACGUUGGUUUGGAUGUUGGGACCGUACCAGUACAGCUCAGCAGUGGUGUAGUCUACUAGGAAUUGUAAAGGAUUUCCGUAUACCCGCUAAAAAUAGCGUGAGGAUGCGUAACAGCAUGGUUUUGUGACAUUUCAAACUUUUAGUUAUAGUGAAGCACUGACCAUUAGCAUGCUACACUUGCUACUUUAGCGGGUUGAAAUGCAUAUACAUAUUAGGCUAUAUAUUUGGUGUGUUUGACUUCUGCCGAACUGCGCGAUCCGAUCGGCAUAUGAAAUCACUAUAGCGGCGCGAAAGUGACUGGGGAGCAGAGUGGUGUGGCGCUACAAAACCCACAGGCGAGUGACAGCAAAGUACCGCGAGAGCGAUUCAAAGCGGAUUUAUCCACGUGAUAACUGGAAUCGCUCUCGCGGUACUUUGACAUCACCAAGAGAUCUAUACCACUGCAGCUAAUGCUUAGUUCACACUACAUGAUUUUAAGCCAGAUUUAAGCCCGAUUUGCAAAUCGUUCGCUCGCCGACAGGUCGGGGUGUGAUCGGGUGCAAAUCGCGGGGGAUUAGCGGGCGAUCGACGUUCGCCAAUCUGUUGGUAUGAAAGAGCCAACAACGCAUCAAAGACGCUCGCAGACGGCUCGCAGACGCGUCGCCGACACCAGAAAAAUAUCUAGCUUGUUAGAUAUCUGGAGCUGUCGCGCGACUCGACCUUCUAUGAUGUCACGAGCUACAGCCAAUCCGACGAGGGGUUGACGUCACACGGAAAGAUGAGCAGCAUGUCACCAAGAAAACAUUGAACUCAGGCAUAAAUGUCUGUAUGACGUUUCACAUAUAUUUACCACAACUGCGCUGAGAAAAAGAAACGGUGGAGAGAAAUAGCAAACGCUGUAAAACAGCCAGACUUUACUGUUGCACAAGUGGACUCACAAACAACUAGGGAUACAUUAACUUCAUUUGGGAACCAUGGCUUUGGAAUUGAGGAAUAUUGAAGACCCAGUUCUCUUAUCACAUCUCAAAAGAAGCAUAAUGGUGAUGCUAUAGGCUACAACGCCCAGGAGACUGACAGAAGCGGAUCAAUGUUGUCACCUGAACAACCUACCCUAUGCAUAUAUCAUGCAUGACAUGUGCGGUCCGGUCCCGAUGUGUUUUUGUUUACAAACUAUUGACUUUACUAUGUAUUACAUUUAUCAAUAAGGUGAUUAAACUUGUUGAAGGGUUAAGAUUGAAUUUCCCAGUGCUGUUUCAUGAAAUAAAUGGUCUAUCGAAAGUAAUACAUUUAAUGCAACAAAGUAUAAAAGUAUAAAACACAUUGUCAUAUUUUACAAAAAACGCCAAUAUGAAUAGUGCUUUAUAGCCUUGCAUUGUUGUUUUUGCAACUUGAAAACAAUGUAGUACAUUUGAAUGUAUAUUAUGUGGACACACAAAAUAUACAUAGUUAGAACACGUGCAGUGCACCACAUUAACACAAUUAAACAUUACAAAAAUCCCUAUGUAGAGCCCUUUUAAGGGCUGGGUGAUAUAUAAAUAUCGUAAUAUAAUUGUGUGUGAUUGGCUGUUAGAUUAAUCCACAUUGAGUAAAAAUGCCCAGAGCUUAUCAUCACAAUCCCCAUAAAUUUUUAGCAUGAUCAGAUAUGUUGAUGUUUAGCACCGUAGUAUAGAAACAUUGUUAAUGUUCUGCGAAUAAUGAGUGUGGAUCAAGAAAUAAAGUUAGUAUAAGGCACUUAAUUGCAACAUGCAGAUUGCCUUUAUUUGUUACAUUCCUGCACCUUUUGAUUUGUAUGCAAUUAAAAUUAAUUGAAUAAUAACACAACAAUAAACAGAAUACUUAAAACAAUGAAAAA